rnacentral:rRNA from 1 species
AGACCGAUAGCGAACAAGUAGAGUGAUCGAAAGAUGAAAAGAACUUUGAAAAGAGAGUUAAAAAGUACGUGAAAUUGUUGAAAGGGAAGCGCUUGUGACCAGACUUGGGCUUGGUUGAUCAUCCGGGGUUCUCCCCGGUGCACUCUUCCGGCUCAGGCCAGCAUCAGUUCGCCCUGGGGGAUAAAGGCUUCGGGAAUGUGGCUCUCUCCGGGGAGUGUUAUAGCCCGCUGCGUAAUACCCUGUGGCGGACUGAGGUUCGCGCAUUCGCAAGGAUGCUGGCGUAAUGGUCAUCAGUGACCCGUCUUGAAACACGGACCAAG